rnacentral:rRNA from 1 species
GUCUCUCUGUAUUUCAGUUGUAUAGGGAGUCGAACCUGCCCGGUGACUAAGUGUUAAACGGCCGCGGUACCCUAACCGUGCAAAGGUAGCAUAAUCAUUUGCCUUUUAAUUGGAGGCUGGUAUGAAUGGUUUGACGAAAGCCAAGCUGUCUCUUCCGGAAUAAGUAGAAUUUAACUUUUAGGUGAAGAGGCCUAAAUUUAUUUGAGGGACAAGAAGACCCUGUUGAGCUUUAGUGAAGUUACGAGUUUAAGAAGCAGUGUAAAACAGAAAGGGUGUUGGGGUCGGAAGGAUAACGGGCUCUUUAAAAGCUAUAUGUAGUUAUUAUAAUUUCUUUCGUAAUGAAUCUUUAGUUGGGGCGACUGAGGAACAUAAGAAGCUUCCUUGAUAAGUUGAGUUAUAGAUAUCUAGGAGUCUAUAUUAUCUUUACGAAGUAAUGUUGAUCCAAAAUUUUUGAUCAAUGGAAAAAGUUACCACAGGGAUAACAGCGUAAUCUUUCUGGAGAGAUCUAAUCGAAAGGAGGGUUUGCGACCUCGAUGUUGGACUAAGAUAUCCGGAGGGUGCAGAAGCUCUCGAAGGUUGGUCUGUUCGACCAUUAAAAUCUU